UCGGUCUCCUUCACUGUGGGACGUGUUUACACUCCGGAGGGAAACAUGUCCGGGGACCGGAUCAGCUCCACGCCGGGUUCGGGUUCUCCUCCCCGGGAUCCCGGAGCCGCCGAGCUGUCGGAGUUGGAGACUCGUGGUGGUGCUCGGUAGAACCGGUGCUCGGUAGAACCGGGCGGUGCUCGGUAGAACCGGGGCGGUGCUCGGUAGAACCGGGCGGUGCUCGGUAGAACCGGUGCUCGGUAGAACCGGGGCCCGGUACCGGGAGCAGAUCGACCGCCAGCAGCUGGACGGACGGAAGUCCGAGGAGGGCGCAUGGAUCCGGGCAGCAGGUCCGGACUCAACCCGGGUCAAAGAACCGGCGACCCUCAGUGCGCCCCCUCAUGGAUGAAAGCGUGUCCUGACCUCCUGACCAGCAGCUGGAACAGCUGGUUCAGACCGAUGGUUCUGAGGGAGACCCCCGAACCUCGGGCCGCUUAUAAAACGUGAAGCUGAAGAAGCUGCUGACGGAGCCUCUGACACAGAGACCAGAGGAGUCCACAGGUCAAAGGUCACCACAGCAGUCAGCUGACCUGCUUCCAGAGACACCGUCAGAGGAGGGGCCUCAGCCGACAGGAAGCGUGACAUGUGACACGUGUCACAGCUCUGAACAUGGAGGAGCUGACAAUAUCAAACAUGGAGAAAGGGAAUAAGAUUUAAAAUGCAAAAAGAUAAAAUCAGUUACUGAAGCUUUAAAUACUUUUAUUUCAAAGUUCACAGAACUUCACUAUUCAUCAUUCAACAAUAAAAAAUAUGAAAACGC